GACGAACGCUGGCGGCGUGCCUAAUACAUGCAAGUCGAGCGAAGUUUUUCUGGUGCUUGCACUAGAAAAACUUAGCGGCGAACGGGUGAGUAACACGUAAAGAACCUGCCUCAUAGACGGGGACAACUAUUGGAAACGAUAGCUAAUACCGGAUAACAGCAUAAAUCGCAUGAUAUAUGUUUAAAAGUUGGUUUCGGCUAACACUAGGAGAUGGCUUUGCGGUGCAUUAGCUAGUUGGCGGGGUAAAGGCCUACCAAGGCGACGAUGCAUAGCCGACCUGAGAGGGUGAUCGGCCACACUGGGACUGAGACACGGCCCAGACUCCUACGGGAGGCAGCAGUAGGGAAUCUUCCGCAAUGGGCGAAAGCCUGACGGAGCAACGCCGCGUGAGUGAAGAAGGAUUUCGGUUCGUAAAGCUCUGUUGUUAGGGAAGAAUGAUUGUAUAGUAACUAUAUACAGUAGAGACGGUACCUAACCAGAAAGCCACGGCUAACUACGUGCCAGCAGCCGCGGUAAUACGUAGGUGGCAAGCGUUGUCCGGAAUUAUUGGGCGUAAAGCGCGCGCAGGUGGUUUAAUAAGUCUGAUGUGAAAGCCCACGGCUCAACCGUGGAGGGUCAUUGGAAACUGUUAAACUUGAGUGCAGGAGAGAAAAGUGGAAUUCCUAGUGUAGCGGUGAAAUGCGUAGAGAUUAGGAGGAACACCAGUGGCGAAGGCGGCUUUUUGGCCUGUAACUGACACUGAGGCGCGAAAGCGUGGGGAGCAAACAGG
rnacentral:rRNA from 1 species